rnacentral:rRNA from 1 species
UGUAGUCAUAUGCUUGUCUCAAAGAUUAAGCCAUGAGUGUGCAAGUAUAAACUAAUUCAGACUAUGAAACUGUGAAUAGCGCAUUAAAUUAGUUAUAGUUUGUUUGAUGGUACCUGCUACUCAGAUAAUCGUAGUAAUUCUAGAGCUAAUACAUGCAACAUUCCCUGACUUCUGGAAGGGAUGCGUUUAUUAGAUAAAAGGCCGAUGAGGGAUCGCUCGGCCAUUCUGAUGAUUCAUGAUAACUCGACGGAUCUCACGGCCCUCGUGCCGGUGACGCAUGAUUCAAAUUUCUGCCCUAUCAACUUUCGAUGGUUGGAUAGGGGCCUACUGUCACAGUGUUUCUUCGCAUGUUUCGUAAGAUCGGCGCCUUACAGAGGGGAGAUGGCCGAAGAGGCCAAGUUAGGCCAAUCCAAGUCCAAAGAGAGUUGAUGCCCGUCCUAGUCUCAAGGUUUCUUCGCAUGCUCAGUAAGGUCGCAUUCGUAUUUCAUAGUCAGAGGUGAAAUUCUUGGAUUUAUGAAUGAUGAACCACUGCGAAAGCAUUUGCCAAGGAUUUUUUCAUUGAUCAAUAACGAAAGUUUGGGGAUCGAAGACGAUCAGAUACCAUCCUAGUCUCAACCAUAAACGAUGCCGACCAGGGAUCAGUGAAUGUUACUUUUAGGACUCCACCGGCACCUUAUGAGAGCUCUUUCUUUGGGUUCCGGGGGGAGUAUGGUCAUAUGGCUUAAACUUAAAGGAAUUAACAAAAGGGCACCACUAGGAGUGGAGCCUCUGGCUUAAUUUGACUCAACAUGGUGAAACUUACCAGGUCCUGACAUAGCAAGGAUUGACAGACUGAGAGCUCUUUCUUGAUUCUAUGUGUGGUGGUGCAUGACCGUUCUUAGUAGGUGGAGCAAUUUGUCUGGUUAAUUCCGAGAAUGAAUGAGACCUCAUCCUACUAACUAGCUAUCCGGAGGAAUCCUUUCACGGUCAGCUUAUUAGAGGUAUUGUGGCAUUUUAGGCCACGGAAAUUUGAGGCAAUAACAGGUCUGUGAUACCCUUAGAUGUUCUGGGCCGCACACGCGCUACACUGAUGUAUUCAACGAGUCUAUAGACCUGGCCGAUAGUAGCGUGUAGUCUUGUAAAAUUUCAUCGUGAUGGUGAUAGAUCAUUGCAAUUGUUUGUCUUCAACGGGGAAUUCCUAGUAAGCGUGAGUCAUCAGCUGGCGUUGACUACGUCUCUAAACUUUGUACACACUGCCAUUCGGAUCACGGCGACGGGGCGAUCUCGCCACUCACGACAUUAUGAGAAGUCCACUGAACCUUAUCAUUUAGAGAAGGAGAAGUCGUAACAAGGUUUCC